rnacentral:lncRNA from 1 species
AUUUACCUUUCUAAAAUGUUUUCUUGGUGCCUUUUGUUGUGUCUCAAGUUCUCAUCUAUUUGUGACAACACAAAUCCAAUAUGCCAUAAACAUGUUGAAAUGUUCUGGCCUUUACAGUUUUACCAGCCUGAGUGUGGUUCAGGCUGGUUGAUGAAAUACAGAGCACCAGGAAACAACAAGGGCAGAUGACAGUGGUAAAGAGAAAAUAAAGCUGGGCAAAAGCCAUGUUGAAUGAAUCA